rnacentral:rRNA from 1 species
UACGUAGGGGGCAAGCGUUGUCCGGAAUCAUUGGGCGUAAAGAGCGUGUAGGCGGCUCGAUAAGUCUGCUGUGAAAGUCCAGGGCUCAACCCUGGAAGGCCGGUGGAAACUGUCGGGCUAGAGUCCGGAAGAGGCGAGUGGAAUUCCCGGUGUAGCGGUGAAAUGCGCAGAUAUCGGGAGGAACACCAAUGGCGAAGGCAGCUCGCUGGGACGGUACCGACGCUGAGACGCGAAAGCGUGGGGAGCAAACAGG